GAUCUCCUGAUUCACAGCAUGGUGCCAGAGAGGAUUCCAUAUAAAAAGGCAAAAACCCAACUCCGAAUUGCCCCUCCUGUUCAUCUUGGAACCUUCUAAGUGUCCACUUGUCCCGUUCGUCCAUCGUUUUCAAGAGGGGAGGUCAUUCCUUGUUCUUUUUCUUCUUUUCUGCCUCCCCUCUUUAUACCUUUCGGUUUUUCUCGUCGUUUUUCUCUUUUACCAAUCCAUGUUCCUGAUCUUAUAGGAAGCAGUUUUGUCUUUGUUAUGAUCCAAUUGUGAAAUUUGUCAUUUCCUCCUCCUGCCCGUCCUUCCUUUUUGUGAACUUCUAUGAACUUGGAGUCCUCGGAGGGACAGAAACGAAGUCUCUGAUAUCUGCAAUUGUACCCAUCUAGAUCAGGUGUUAGAAUUUCGAUUUGGGUUGCCCUGCUUUGUCACUGGUAUUGUUUCAUUCCGGAAUCAGGUCACCUUCAGAUUUCUGACGUGGGCAGCGUGUUUGUUGCGCUAAUUCCUUGGUGUUAUGAGCUUGCGUCCCAAUUGAGGAGUUCUACUUUAUGAUCGUAGUUACCUUCUCUGAGAGAAGGGCAAAGAUUUUAUAUAUUUGUCAGGUGCAGAUCCUCAUCCAGCUGUCUGAAUUCCAAUAAACAUGGCAACCAGAAAGUCCGCUAUAACAGUAGGAGAAGAUUGUCGUAGACUAACUUCUGCAUUAGUAUAUGCAGCAACCGAGUGGCUAGUGAUGUUUCUAUUGUUUUUGAAUGCUUUGCUUUCCUAUGCCAUAACGAAAAUUGCCAGUUUCUUUGGGUUGGAGAUACCAUGUUUGUUAUGUUCGAGGCUUGAUCACGUGAUAGGGAAUAAGACACCUGAUUUCUACAGAGAAUUGAUAUGUCAUGCCCAUAAGCUGGAAAUCUCCUCAUUGGCGUAUUGUCAAAUUCACAUGAAGCUUUCAGACGUUCAUAGGAUGUGCGAGGAAUGUCUUGUUUCUUUUGCGACAGAGAAGAAAACAAACCCAGAAACAUAUAGGUUGUUGGUUGGGAAACUGGGAACUGAUUUUGAAUGUGUUGCUGGAGAUGACCACAGUUUCCAUCUUGACAAGCAAUUGCAUAUUCGCUCGAAUCAUGAGACUGAUAUCCAUGUUAAGAAACCACCAGAUGAUACUUCAAGACAAGCUCCUGAAUCAGAUUUGAAUGACAUGAAAUGCUGCAUAUGUUGUGGUGUACCAAUAGUAAGCAAUCUGAAGUCAACUAGAUUAUUCAAUGCUAGUUUGAUUGUUAACAAGGCUGGAAUGCUUGAAGGUUCUUCUUCUUGUUCCAUAACUUGUGAGCACCAUGAUUUCCUGAAUAAGAAAAUAGCAAGAUCAUCUGGUUCCUCGCAGACCUUCUCUAUAGGUAAGCGUAGUCAGGAUCCGCUGGAUCAUAUUGGUUACUCUGAGCUCAAGAUCACUUCUGAUUCUGAGUCUGAAGUUCCACUGUCAGAUGAGGAUGAUGCACAUUCUGCUAUUCAAAGGACUUUUGCCUACAACAAGGAUCCAAUUUCCUCUUCUUUGGAAAAACCUGACAGCAUAAAAGCAAACUUAGCUGCAGCAGUUGCAACAGGCCGUUUGAGCCUCCAUAAGCUGGACAGUCCAUCCAUGACAUCUGUUCCUUCAGUUGUCGUUUCUGAUGAGCAACCAAGAUGUAUGACUUGUGGCCACUCGCUCACAAAUGGCUUCCCUGCUGUUGCAGCUGGAGACACUGACAAGAAACAGGAAAAUGUUACAGAACUAUAUCAAAGUGGAAAUGGGUCCACCUCGGCACCUUCUAGGACAUCAGGAUAUGGGCUAGAAGAGCUGAAUUGGCAGACCUCAGAACCACUCCACCCUGCAGUAAUGGAAUUUUUCACCCCACGUGCAGUUCCAUCAUUAAACAAGCCCACAAAGAGAUUCACAGAAUCAACAUUCCCAUCUCUUCUUGAGAAUGUCACACAAAUUGCUUCAGACAAGACUGUAAAAGAGUCUUCUGAAACUGCUCGUCCUAUGCUUGACAUAUUUUUCACCCCACGUGCAGUUCCAUCAUCACGGAAGAGUCUGGAAGGUCUGUCGGGAUCAUUAUUUUCUUCUGCAAGGCCUGAAUUUUUCACUCCUCGUGCAUUUCCAUCAUCAAACAAGGGUGCAGAAUUUCUAUCAGGAACAACAUUUCCUUCCACAGUACCUGAAUUUUUCACGCCACGUGCAGCUUCAUCAUCAGUUCCUUCUUCAGUUAAGGUUGAUGACCACGUCUCAGGAGGAGCUUGUUCUUCUAGUAUCUCCAAGUCAUCCACACUGUCUACUGCUGCCUCAUCAGAGAAGCCCACAGAAUCUCUUGCAGAAGUAUUUACAUCAAAAUGUGAUGCUGAGGCCGCUGUAACAGAUAACUAUCAAUCUGAAAUGCCCUCAGAUUCUGCAUCUGAGCUCCUAGGAAUGACCAGACCUGAAGGCUUAUCUAGAUUGAAAUUGCUUAGACCUAGUUCCUUGACUACUGAUGACCCUAGUCUUCUUAUGUCUGGUUCUCUGGAUUUAAAUGAUGCAUACAAGCUGGCUGUGGGUAGUAAAGGAGGUAACCCAAGCGAGUCACUUGUGGAUAAUGGUGGUAAAGAGCCCAGCAAAGUUCCUGAAGACCUGAAAUCACUGAUAUCACAGAUUUCAUCUUUAAGAGGAAUGAGUGACAUAGCUAUGAGCCCCAAAAUUCAACUUGGUAGUGGUGAUCUCAAAGUCCCUGAUGCAUCCACACCCAUAUCACUGCAGGCUCUUCACAAAAAACUCUCGAUAGAGAGAUAUGAAUCAGGUGUGGACUCAUUGGAUGGGAGUAUUGUGAGUGAAAUUGAAGGAGAAAGUGCAGUCGAUCGUCUGAAACGCCAAGUUGAAUAUGAUAGGAAAGCCAUGUAUGCAUUGUAUAAGGAGCUUGAAGAGGAAAGAAAUGCUGCAGCUAUUUCUGCAAACCAAGCAAUGGCCAUGAUUACUAGGCUACAGGAGGAGAAGGCAUCGUUGCACAUGGAAGCUUUACAGUACCUUAGAUUGAUGGAAGAACAAUCAGAGUACGACCAAGAAGCUCUGCAAAAAGCAAGUGAGCUUCUUGCAGAAAGAGAGAAAGAAAUACAAGACUUGGAGAUGGAGCUAGAAUCCUUCAGGAAAAGAUUCCAAGAUGAACCUAUGUUGGAUCAGAAAUCUGAGAAUGCAACUUGUCCUGAUAAAAUGGUUGGAGGUUUACCUUUAUGGCAACACGAUAAUGUCGAGAACUUUGAAGGGAGAAAAUUUUCUUAUGAUCAAGCACUUAAUCACAAAAACUUGUCAUUGCAAAACCUUGAAAAAGAUCUAGGUAAGAUCGUUAAUGAUAUGAAUGGCAGAGAAAAAAAUAUUGAAAAGGAAUAUUUGCUUGAUCUUGAAGAUGAACGAGGUUACAUUUCAAGUUGUCUGAAAAAGUUGGAGAAGAGACUUACUCAGACUGAUGUUAGAGCUACAGAACAAGGAGAAGUGGCACAAAGAUGCAACAUUAAAACAGAGGAGGAUUUUCCAAUUCCUGACAGAUUUUCAGAAAGAGGCACAUCUGAAGGUUCACAUGGCACAAAUGGAUUUACUGUUAGUGAUCAUUCACUUGUGAAUUGUGAUCCUAGUCUGGAGAACUACAGAGGAAAUUACUUGUCUACUAUUGAAAAUGAAAUUCUGCACUUAAAUGAGAGGUUAGUGGCACUCGAGGCAGACAAAGAUUUUUUAGAACACACACUUAAUUCCCUAAGCAGUGGAAGUGAAGGAUUGAAGCUUGUCCAGGAAAUAGCACAUCAUCUGAGAGAAAUGAGGAGAGUGUGGAGCGGAGCAGCAGGAACAUGCUGUUCUUGAUUAUGGGUGGUGAUCAUGUCGACUCAGAGUAAGUGCAUGGAGAAAUUCAUACUUUUGUUGGAGAAUAGCCACACCGUGUUUUUGUAUUUGAGACUUUGUAGAGAAUCAUACCGUGGAAGGUGAAAUAUCCAAGACCAAUGGACUUGAUGAAAUUCAAGUUUUACCGCCCAUAUCAGCAAAUACAUCAACAAAAAUGAAGCUUUGGUUGCUCGCCUGUAACAGUGUGUGUAUAUACACAAUCUGACCACAGCAUCCUCUUGUUUUUUUGGCUUUGGAUGUGUCUGCUUGGUUAUGCACUUGUCACUAGGAAUUUGUUAAGAGUUUGUCUUCUGAUAUUGUCCCCAAGAGUGCUCGAAUUGUAAACAGUGUAAGCUUUUCCCUGAUUAUUAAUCAUUGAUUUUCAUGUACUGA